AAGCACGUUAGGUUUUCGUCUUAGAGGUGUAUCUUAUGAUACCGGAAAUU
rnacentral:tRNA from 2 species